rnacentral:rRNA from 1 species
UCAAGUUAUUAAGGGUGUAGGGCGAAUGCCUUGGCACUAGGAGCCGAUGAAGGACGUGAUAAGCUGCGAUAAGCUUGGGGGAGUUGCACGUAAACUGUGAUCCCAAGAUUUCCGAAUGAGGAAACUCACUUAGAGUAAUGUCUAAGUAUCGUAUAGUGAAUACAUAGCUAUGCGAGGGGAACCCGGGGAACUGAAACAUCUAAGUACCCGGAGGAAGAGAAAGAAAUUCGAUUCCGUAAGUAGCGGCGAGCGAACGCGGAACAGGCCAAACCAGUAAAGUUUACUUUAUUGGGGUUGCGGACAUAUCAUAACGAAGAGGCUAUUGUAGACGAAGAGAGUUGGAAAGCUCCGCUAUAAAGUGUAAAAGCCACGUAGUUUAAACGAGAAGACUUCAGAUAUGAUCCAGAGUACCACGGGACACGUGAAACCCUGUGGGAAGCAGGAGGGACCAUCCUCCAAGCCUAAAUACUACCUAGUGACCGAUAGCGUAUAGUACCGUGAGGGAAAGGUGAAAAGAACCCCGGGAGGGGAGUGAAAGAGAACCUGAAACCCUACACUUACAAGCUGUGGGAGCACAUUUCUUGUGUGACCGCGUACUUUUUGUAGAACGGGCCAACGAGUUACGUUACCUAGCAAGGUUAAGCACUUAAGGUGUGGAGCCGUAGCGAAAGCGAGUCUUAACUGGGCGAUUAGUUAGUUGACGUAGACCCGAAACCGGGCGACCUAUCCAUGGGCAGGUUGAAGCGAAAGUAAAAUUUCGUGGAGGACCGAACCCACGAGCGUUGAAAAGCUCGGGGAUGACCUGUGGAUAGCGGUGAAAUUCCAAUCGAGCCCGGAGAUAGCUGGUUCUCUCCGAAAUAGCUUUAGGGCUAGCCUCAAGAUUUAGAGAAACGGGGGUAGAGCACUGAAUGUCCUAGGGGGUAUUGCACUUACCGAAGACUAUCAAACUCCGAAUACCGUAUUCUUAUGCUUGGGAGUCAGACUAUGGGUGAUAAGAUUCAUAGUCAAAAGGGCAACAGCCCAGAUCGUCAGCUAAGGUCCCUAAAUGUACGUUAAGUGGUAAAGGAUGUGGGAUUGCACAGACAACCAGGAUGUUGGCUUAGAAGCAGCCACUCAUUUAAAGAGUGCGUAAUAGCUCACUGGUCGAGUGAUCCUGCGCCGAAAAUUUCCGGGGCUAAAACGUACUACCGAAGCUACGGCAUCAUUUAUGAUGGGUAGGAGAGCUUUCUAUACGGGUUGAAGCAUUACCGUAAGGAGAUGUGGACUGUAUAGAAGUGAGAAUGUUGGCAUGAGUAGCGAGAUGCGGGUGAGAAUCCCGCAGGCCGUAAACCCAAGGUUUCCAGGGGAAGGUUCGUCCGCCCUGGGUUAGUCAGGACCUAAGCCGAGGCCGAAAGGCGUAGGUGAUGGACAACAGGUUGAUAUUCCUGUACCACCAAUAACCGUUUGAGAAAUGGGAUGACACAGAAGGAUAAGCUAACCGCACUGUUGGUUAUGUGCGGGCAAGUAUUGAGGCAGUUCUGAUAGGCAAAUCCGUCAGAAUAAUGCUGGGGUACGAUGCGGAGCGAAAUUUAGUAGCGAAGUAGCUGAUUUCACACUGUCGAGAAAAGUCUCUAUCGAGGUUAAAGGUGCCUGUACCGCAAACCGACACAGGUGGGUGAGGAGAGUAUCCUAAGGCCAGCCAGAGAACUGUUGUUAAGGAACUCGGCAAAAUGACCCCGUAACUUAGGGAGAAGGGGUGCCUUCGAAAGAAGGCCGCAGAGAAUAGGCCCAAGCGACUGUUUACCAAAAACAUAGGUUUCUGCUAAGUCGCAAGACGAUGUAUAGGAGCUGACGCCUGCCCGGUGCUGGAAGGUUAAGGGGAUCUGUUAGAGCAAUCGAAGCAGUGAACUUAAGCCCCAGUAAACGGCGGCCGUAACUAUAACGGUCCUAAGGUAGCGAAAUUCCUUGUCGGGUAAGUUCC